CCGUAGGGGGAACUUGGGGAAGGAUCAUUAUUGAAGUUUGGUUGUUGCUGCCCUUUUUUUGGGCAUGUGCACGCCUUAUUCAAACCCACCUGUGCACCUUUUGUAGACAGACUUUGUUUUGUCUAUCAAUCAUUUACUCCCGUGUAAUCAGAAUGUUAUUGAUUGGCCUCAGUGCCUUUAAUCAAAUAUUAUACAACUUUCAGCAACGGAUCUCUUGGCUCUCGCAUCGAUGAAGGACGCAGCGAAACGCGAUAAGUAAUGUGAAUUGCAGACACGUGAAUCAUCGAAUCUUUGAACGCACCUUGCGCUCCUUGGUGAUCUGAGGAGCAUGCCUGUUUGAGUGUCAUUAAAUUCUCAACCUAACCAACUUUUGGAUAGGCUUGGAUUGUGGGGGCUUUUGCUGGCUUCUUCCCUCAGAAGUCAGCUGACGGAUCAUUCAUGAAGUGAGGGAGUUGUUGACCUUGUUUCCUGGUGUGAUAAAACCUUUAUCACCACCGUGUGCAGUCAGCUUACUCUGCUUCUAACCGAUUUUCAUUCACUCUUGACCAUUGACCUCAAAUCAG
rnacentral:rRNA from 1 species